rnacentral:rRNA from 1 species
CUUAACACAUGCAAGUCGAGCGAGAAAGCUCUCUUCGGAGAGUGAGUAGAGCGGCGCACGGGUGAGUAACGCGUGGAUAAUCUACCCUUAAGAUCGGGAUAACAGUUGGAAACGGCUGCUAAUACCGAAUGAUCUGCAUAUUUAACUUUAUGUGGUAAAGGUGGCCUCUAUUUAUAAGCUACCGCUUUUGGAUGAGUCCGCGUCUCAUUAGCUUGUUGGUGGGGUAAUGGCCUACCAAGGCAACGAUGAGUAGCUGGUCUGAGAGGAUGAUCAGCCACACUGGGACUGAAACACGGCCCAGACUCCUACGGGAGGCAGCAGUGGGGAAUAUUGCGCAAUGGGGGAAACCCUGACGCAGCGACGCCGCGUGUAGGAAGAAGGCCUUCGGGUCGUAAACUACUGUCAAGAGGGAAGAAACUGUUAAGGUCUAAUACGCCUUUUCACUGACGGUACCUCUAGAGGAAGCACCGGCUAACUCCGUGCCAGCAGCCGCGGUAAUACGGAGGGUGCAAGCGUUAAUCGGAAUCACUGGGCGUAAAGCGUGCGUAGGCGGCGCAACAAGUCAGGCGUGAAAGCCCUCGGCUCAACCGAGGAAUUGCGUUUGAAACUGUUGUGCUAGAGUCUCGGAGAGGUUGGCGGAAUUCCAGGUGUAGGAGUGAAAUCCGUAGAUAUCUGGAGGAACACCGGUGGCGAAGGCGGCCAACUGGACGAGUACUGACGCUGAGGUACGAAAGCGUGGGGAGCAACCGGAUUAGAUACCCUGGUA